UUGAAAUAAACCUGAUGGGUUGCUGCUGGUUCAUUAAUGAACAUGUGCACACUCGUCAUCUUUAUAUUUCCACCUGUGCACUUUUUGUAGACCUGGACAAGUUUCUUAAUGCUAGCAUUAAGGUUUUAGGAUUGAUUCUGUCUCUCCUUAUAUUUCUGGGUCUAUGUUUAUUCAUAUACUCUAAUGUAUGUUAUAGAAUGUAAUAAUUGGGUCUUUGUGCCUAUAACAAAAUA
rnacentral:misc_RNA from 1 species